rnacentral:rRNA from 1 species
GAUGAACGCUGGCGGCGUGCCUAACACAUGCAAGUCGAGCGAUUCUCUUCGGAGAAGAGCGGCGGACGGGUGAGUAACGCGUGGGUAACCUGCCCUGUACACACGGAUAACAUACCGAAAGGUAUGCUAAUACGAGAUAAUAUGCUUUUAUCGCAUGGUAGAAGUAUCAAAGCUUUUGCGGUACAGGAUGGACCCGCGUCUGAUUAGCUAGUUGGUAAGGUAACGGCUUACCAAGGCGACGAUCAGUAGCCGACCUGAGAGGGUGAUCGGCCACAUUGGAACUGAGACACGGUCCAAACUCCUACGGGAGGCAGCAGUGGGGAAUAUUGCACAAUGGGCGAAAGCCUGAUGCAGCAACGCCGCGUGAGCGAUGAAGGCCUUCGGGUCGUAAAGCUCUGUCCUCAAGGAAGAUAAUGACGGUACUUGAGGAGGAA